GCUGCAGAGGGAAACAGAGGGAGCGCAUUAAUUCUGCACAGGUUCUAUUACCUGCUCCAGCCACAGCCGGGGCAAGCAUCACCCAAAUAGCCCCGGGUGUGAUGUCAGACGGGCUGCCACCCUAGCACGUACCCAUCCGGUCACCGGCCACCACCAGUUCGGGUCUGUCACCUGCCUACACCAUUCACCUCACCUGUCAUCUCUAGACAAGGCAUGGCGGUGGUGAUGAGCGCCCAUCCUGGAGCCUACCCUGUACAGAACCCUGAGCCACCAUUGCAAGCAGGGCCCCUGUGCCUACUCCUUCCACACGUGACAACCUCAGUCUCCACCGCUGGCGUCUCAGGGUUCCCUGCCACGCUUGGCACACACUCAGCUCAGGGCCUGUGUUCUAGCCAUGCCUCGGCCUGGAACGUUCUCCUCCUCACUCUCCCAUGGCUCUCCCCUCCUGCAGCAUACACUGUACCUCCCUGGGCAGCGCCCACCAAUCCCUCCUCCCUGACAGCAGCACCGAGUAUCAGCUGCAGAUGACCUCUUUCUUUCGUUCACUGUAAGGCUCCCAGCAGGGGAAUAGCACCUACUUCCCCUGAAGCUGCCUGCCCGAGCUCCCGCAACAGGCCUAGACUGGGCACUCGCCCUGUUGGACACACAGGAAAGACACUGCCCGGCCAGCUGCGUGGCUAGCACAAAAGCCAGGCUCUGCACAGUAGCGCAGGUGUUCAGCCCAGGAGUGUCUGGACUGCAACUCGGAGAGGAGCAACCGGUCCAGGAGUGAACCUGCCUGUCAAUUACGUCCUCUGCAGUCUACCACGCUGGCUGUUGUGAUACCCCAUAAACUUUCAGCCCGGCCUGGUGGCUCACAUCUGCAAUCCCAGCCCUCAGGAGGCUGAGGCGGGAGGAUUAUGUAAACAUGCUUUGUUUUUAAAACUUCA